rnacentral:rRNA from 1 species
UACAGAGGCCCCAAGCGUUACUGAGAAUCACUGGGUUUAAAGGGUGCGUAGGUGGUCCGUUAAGUUCGUUGUGAAAGCCCUGGGCUCAACCCAGGAACUGCUUCGAAUACUGGCGGACUUGAGGCUAGUAGGGGUCACUGGAACUGACGGUGGAGCGGUGAAAUGCGUAGAUAUCGUCAGGAACGCCAAUGGUGAAGACAGGUGACUGGGCUAG